GAAUGUUGACCUCGAAUCAGGUAGGAAUACCCGCUGAACUUAAGCAUAUCAAUAAAAAAGGAAGAA
rnacentral:rRNA from 1 species